GCUGCGGCUGGAAGGCAAGGAGUACGUCGUCGCCGACGGCGACGUGAUGCAUUUCAGGUUCAAUACCUGAGCGCGGUC
rnacentral:tRNA from 1 species